GCCUUUUUCAAAUGACUGCUCAUGGGUGAGUGCGCUCCUCAGUGGUUUCUCGGGCUGGAGAGGAUGGCUGGUUACAGACCCGGGAUGACAUAAAAAACAUGUGAAGCUAAGCGACUACGUCAGCGACGUAAGGCCUGGGGAACGUCUCUAACAUGCAACAUUUGGCGCAUUCUUCAAAUUCUAUUAGUACAUUUAGAGCCUAGUCAGCAUCUUCUUUGCUCGGCUAUAUAAACAGAACGCAUGUGAGUCCAGCUCUUAGUGAUUACUGAUGGAUGCCUGGGGAAGAACACUUUACUGAAUGCAGAAGAGCACACACUGUUCCAGCUGGAGGAGGGGGAUAGAAGCCUUGGAAGCUGCGAUUGAAUAUAAGAACAAAUACAUUCAAAACAGGCAGAAGGUUCUGAUAGACUCCUCUCGGAUUCUCACCCAAAGUGAAGCCAACAUCAUUAAAAAGUUCAGCUCUCUCUCGCCUUCAGAAACCAGAUCCAUCCUUGUCCGAUACUUCAACAAGGCAAUAACACUGCAGCCAAAAAAUUGAAAUGGACCCCCCAGCUUGAAAGCAACAAAGCUGCUGGAAAAGGAAGAGAGUCUCAACAUCCCGGCCUUCAGGGCAAUCCUUACAGAGCUGCAGGUGAUAUUCCCGAAGGUGACCCUAGCACCGGCUUCCCCGGGCUUCCCUCUAGAAGCCAUAUCUCCAGAAGAGCCAGCUCAGAAGACGAGGAGCCAGGAAAUAUUCCCACCCAGUCCAUAUCAAAGAUGGAACUGAGCAAAACUCUGUGUCACUCCAGUGAAAAUAUCCCAUAGGGAACUGCUUGCGUGUAAUACAGGAACACUGGGGACUUGCUACCUACUAACUGUUUUCAAGACUCUUGACUUCUGUACUUCACAUUUAAAGAACUAACAGACUUUCAUUGACUGGAUAUUUAAUAUCCAUGGUAAAAACAGGCCCUGAAAUCACUGUUUGCUCUUAUUCCCACCCCCCAUCCAUUUCCCAUUGGUCUAAGAGGAGAAAACAGAUGAUCUUAAAAGAACAGUAGUGCCAAAAAAAGGAAAGGGUAUAAAAGUAAUUACAGUAUAAUGUACUGCUGCCCAGCACUGUUAAGCCUACUAUAGUUUAUAUCAGGGGUCCCCAACCUUUCUUACUCAUACAUAAAAUUGUAAAAAGACUUGGAGCGCAACACAAGCACCAUAAAAGUUAAUGGAGGAGCCAAAUAAGGGCUGUGAUAGGGUGCAUAGAGGCCCCUAAUAGCCAAUCAGCUUACAGGGGCUUUAUUUGGUAGGAAAUCUUGUUUUUAUUCAACCAAAACUUUCCACCAAGUAAGGAAUUCAAAAAUAACUGUCUGUUUUGGGGGCACUGGGAGCAACAUCCAAGGGGUUGGGGAGCAGCAUGUUGCCCCAGAGCCACUGGUUGGGGAUCACUGGUUUAUUUAAAUACCCUAUUAUGUAACCAUUGGGGCAGCCAUUCUGCUAUGUAUCCUGUGCCUUUUCUCCUUUUAAAUGGCUGCCCCCAUGGCUACACAGCGGGGUAUUUAUAUAAACUAUAGUAGGGUUUCUGUAGCAAACACCCCAGCUGUACCGGUGCAGGAAUGGUUCCCCCCGGGGCUACAAUGCAGGGUAUUUAUAUAAACUAUAGUAGGGUUUCUGUAGCAAACUGUUCCUUUAAACAAGUUUAAAAUCAAAUCUGGCUAGAAAUGCUGCAUUUACCUACAGAACAUUAAUAAUCCAGUAAUAAAGCCUGACACAUAACU